CCGCAACGAGCGCAACCCUUAUUCUCUGUUACCUGUAGCAAUACAGGGUCUCUGAGGAAACUGCCAUUGAUAAAAUGGAGGAAGGUGAGGACGACGUCAAGUCAUCAUGGCCUUUAUGUCCAGGGCUACACACGUACUACAAUGACCGGUACAAAGGGCAGCGAUAUUGUAAAAUGGAGCAAAUCCUUAAAGCCGGCCUCAGUUCAGAUUGUGGGCUGCAAUUCGCCCACAUGAAGUAGGAAUCGCUAGUAAUCGCAGAUCAGCAGGCUGCGGUGAAUACGUUCCCGGGCCUUGUACACACCGCCCGUCACACUACGAAAGUCAGUUAUAACAGAAGUCGUUGAGCUAACCGCAAGGAGGCAAAUGCCUAAGUUAUGAUUGGUGAUUGGAGUGAAGUCGUAACAAGGUAGCCGUACGAGAACGUGCGGCUGGAUCACCUCCUUUCU
rnacentral:rRNA from 1 species